rnacentral:rRNA from 1 species
UUGAACGCUGGCGGCAGGCCUAACACAUGCAAGUCGAGCGGCAGCGGGAAAGUAGCUUGCUACUUUUGCCGGCGAGCGGCGGACGGGUGAGUAAUGCCUGGGGAUCUGCCCAGUCGAGGGGGAUAACAGUUGGAAACGACUGCUAAUACCGCAUACGCCCUACGGGGGAAAGGAGGGGACCUUCGGGCCUUUCGCGAUUGGAUGAACCCAGGUGGGAUUAGCUAGUUGGUGGGGUAAUGGCUCACCAAGGCGACGAUCCCUAGCUGGUCUGAGAGGAUGAUCAGCCACACUGGAACUGAGACACGGUCCAGACUCCUACGGGAGGCAGCAGUGGGGAAUAUUGCACAAUGGGGGAAACCCUGAUGCAGCCAUGCCGCGUGUGUGAAGAAGGCCUUCGGGUUGUAAAGCACUUUCAGCGAGGAGGAAAGGUCUGGUCGCCUAAUAACGGCCAGCUGUGACGUUACUCGCAGAAGAAGCACCGGCUAACU